GGCAUAUGGUGAGGCGCGGUGAGACAACGAUUGUGUAUAACUGCACUGGCUAAUACCGCAUAAUGGCUACGGACCAGAAGGGGGCUUCGGCUCUCGCCUUUAGAUUGGCCCAAGUGGGAUUAGCUAGUUGGUGAGGUAAUGGCUCACCAAGGCGACGAUCCCUAGCUGGUUUGAGAGGAUGAUCAGCCACACUGGGACUGAGAACACGGCCCAGAACUCCUACGGGAGGCAGCAGUGGGGAAUAUUGCACAAUGGGCGCAAGCCUGAUGCACCCACUGCCGCGUGUGUGAAGAAGGCCUUCGGGUUGUAAAGCACUUUCAGUCAGGAGGAAAGGUUAAUAGUUAAUACCUCGCGUAGCUGUGACGUUACUGACAGAAAGAAAGCACCGGCUAACUCCGUGCCAGCAGCCGCGGUAAUACGGAGGGUGCGAGCGUUAAUCGGAAUUACUGGGCGUAAAGCGUACGCAGGCGGUUUGUUAAGCGAGAUGUGAAAGCCCCGGGCUCAACCUGGGAACUGCAUUUCGAACUGGCAAACUAGAGUGUGAUAGAGGGUGGUAGAAUUUCAGGUGUAGCGGUGAAAUGCGUAGAGAUCUGAAGGAAUACCGAUGGCGAAGGCAGCCACCUGGGUCAACACUGACGCUCAUGUACGAAAGCGUGGGGAGCAAACGGGAUUAGAUACCCCGGUAGUCCACGCCGUAAACGAUGUCUACUAGAAGCUCGGAACCUCGGUUCUGUUUUUCAAAGCUAACGCAUUAAGUAGACCGCCUGGGGAGUACGGCCGCAAGGUUAAAACUCAAAUGAAUUGACGGGGGCCCGCACAAGCGGUGGAGCAUG
rnacentral:rRNA from 1 species